AACCUAAAACUUCCAGACUCAGAAGGGUUGAACUGGCUGAGUUUUUGAGCUCUGUGGUUCAGAUGCUCUUGCAGCAGUUUAAAUCCUGGCUCAGGGCUUUGUCGAGACGCUGGAGGUUUCUGUUGUGAGCCACCACCAAGCAGAACAGAAAGCUCGAUGGAUUCUUUUGUUACAUGAUGUUUUCCUUCUGAUAUUUAAUAAAACCCCUUUGGAGAUCUCUAAAUCAAAGCCAUUCGUGUUGUAUCAGAACAUUUCUUCAAGGGGCAGGAAAGGAUUCCACACAGGAAGGCCCCAGUGAUGCACGGGGCUCGUUAGCACACGCUGCCGUCGCUGACCUCGCUCGCGCUGGUGAAGGUUUGUUUGCCAUGUGCUCGUGCCUUUUUAUCUCCAGUUUUGAUUAUAAAAAUGUUCCUGUUUAAAAGACCCACGCCAGGGAAUAAAUCUCUGGGCCCAACAGCCCCUUUGAGCACAGGCAGCCCCAGCAUUUAACUUGUAACAAAGAGACUUUUGGUGGAAGCUUUUUGAUAAAAAGUUGGCAGCAUAUCAGAGGAGCAGUUUGGCCAUGAGAUACGAACAAGGAUGUCACUCUGGAUGUUUUAACUUCUUACCUUUCCUUCCAAUUAUUUUUUUUAAAUGAUUAUGAAUGAAUUAUAAACCAGAAGAUGAUUACUUUCAGUGUGGGUGUUUCCAAAUAGUGCCUCAAUUAAAGAAGCCAGUCUGUUUUGCUUUUAACAUAAUGCAGAGAUCUGGCAGCUCAAUGAGAUACUGCUGUAAACCAGCAGCAGUUUAAAGGAGUAAGAAUUCAGAGUGACCUGAAGAAUAAUUAGCUUUUAGCACAAAAUCUGUCAGGAUGAGGAGCUUGGACUGUUAUUUAACUUAUUUGAUUUAACUGGGACCAAAACACUGGUUGCCUUCCCUCUCGUGUGAGUGGCAGGUGGUGGAAAACAGCAGAAGACAAGGUGAGGGUGAAGAAGGGUAGAGUUCAAAUAAAUAAAUAACAUAUAUUAAGGGCUGAUUAAAGGAAAGGUAGGACACAGAUGUGAGCAUCCCCUCUGAAUAUAUUUCACUCUGAGCUGGGUUUGCUCCUGCUUCCUUCAGCUGCUGGGUUGGAUUGCAGGGCACAAAGCAGACACCUCCUGUACCUCAGCCUGGUGUCCCAGGCAGCACCAGCCCUUUGUCAGCCCCUGUCUGCUCAGGCAGGUUAUAAAUCUGUAACCUUGCACUUCACCUUUUGUGUCUUGCUUAAUGACCUUUUCAAACUCAAUGCAGGGUGGCCGAGGGGAAGGGGAUGGGCCGUGGAAAAGCUGACACGUCCGCAACCUGAGCUCUGAUGGGUCUGAUUGCUCCAGUCUGCUGAACAAAACUGCUUUUUCUUUGUGGGGAAGAAAAAGAGGGACAAGGGGGACAGGGAAGGGUUUUCUUAGCCGGGUUCUCUGUCUGUAAAAUGCAGUUACCUGCUUAAAGAAGAGGCUGCACUCGUCCAGUAUGAAAACAGACUUUUUACACAAAUCUCUAUUUCAUUUUCACAAGCUGUUGUUUCAAGAGCCUCUUGUAAGAGCCACUGGAAGUGUCAUCCUUCAUUUCUUUUGCAUAAAAAAAGAUCAUUUCAAGUUCUUAACAGGCUCUUCUUCUGUUUCCCACACUACUAAAUUUAAUAUACACAGACUUGAUAUAAAAAUAUAUGAUAACUUUUAUGUGAGUCCAUUAAAGUGUAUAUUAUCCCUAAGGAAUGUCUUACUAUAAAAUGCUCUCCACUUGAAUGAAAGGAAAACUGAAGUUUCCCACCAUUUCAAACCGGGACAAUAAUUUAUUUUGGUGAUGAUUGUAAUGGGUAUUUUGGGUCCAUGUGUACAAUAGUAAAACUGACACUGUUUUCUUUUGUUUAUGUAUUUUGCUUAAAAUAAAAGAUGACUCCAAAGGAAGGUAUUUGAGGAAGAAUGCUUGCAGAGAGGGGCCACAUUUAUUUUGGCUGGCUGUGCUGGGCUGUCAGCUGGACACCAACCUGCACAAUUCAGAGAGACCUUCAACCUGCUCCCAGCUGCCUUUACCACAACAACUUGCAAUGCAGAAUCCCCCCCUCACUCAGCUGACCUGGGCUGACAGUCCCUUGCAAGCUGCACCAAAUACUUUCCAGUCAUUUUACUGCUUAAGAUUCCCCAAAUAACUGGAAUACCAAAAAUGUGUUGUGGGCAGGUCACUUGUACUGUUUGCAGUCUGUGCAUGUCCACGGUUGUGCUGUGCCCUGUCUGACUGUUUCUAGUGGUUAGGCCUUAACUGAACUUUUAUUUCAGUCUUACUGUUUUUGUCUUGUCUUUGCAGUGACCUGCUGGGCACUUUUUUAACAAGAGGGAAAAAAGGAGCGAGGAGUGGGAAGAGAGGAAAUUGCCACCCUUUCAGUAUUAGAAAUAAUGUCCCUGAUGGCAGAGGACUCGUAGAAGUCAUCAGUGAUGAUUAAAUUCCUCUUAAUAAGAACAAACAGAGCUGUCGAUGGAGGAUGUGCUGCAAGGAGCUUCCUAUGGAAUCACCCCAUCCAGAUGCUACCCCAGGAGUGCUCAGGGCACUGGUGCAGGAGAGCUGUCUGUCCUGAAGGUCCCUGGCAGGUGAGUCUGGAGACAAGGCAGGCAGAAGGGUGGGGAGCAGCGGGACGGGCUGUGCCCAGAACAGUCCCUUUGCCACGGGUUAUCCCGGGAUAACUGACUGCUCUCUAAUGAGGGCACAGGAUGUGUUAAUCACUCCACUCCAGCGGUCCUGACAGGAACUUGGCAGCAGGUUCCAGCCACCCAGGCACUGAGGCUGCAGGUUUUAUGGCCGUGCCCAGAUGCGGCUGUGGGGCUGUUCUCCCUCGUUUCCUCGGGGAGGAGCAGGUUACACUCUCACUGCUGUGGGCUCUGCUGGGGACAACUGGUUUGCAAAGUAAACUGUUGUUUUCUCAUGUGUUGAGGGUUUUCUUUUACCCCCAUCUCAGUCUUUAUUCUUAUUUUUAAGCGUGUAUUUAGUGUGUUCAGCCAGAAAGUUGAAAAUUUCAGGCAGCUCUGUGUUCUGCAGAAGUUAAACACUUACUUAACCAUUUAUGUCUUAGUCAAAGGAGAGAAAGGAGCUAUUGGAGUUGAUUCCAUCUUAUAGAGCUUACUGUGCAUGCUUUUUUGUAAAUGAGUUUAGCUCUCCAAGGUGCUUCUGCACAUCCCUGGGUCCCACAGCCCUCCUGUGAACAUGUGUUACCUCAUGUUGGCAAAACCAGCUGCUGGUUUCACCAGCUGAUCUCUCUUUCUUGAGGCUGAAUCUUUCCUGGGGUCAUUUGGUAAUUGCUGAGAAACAGGCAGGCAGGAUUUUGCUUUUUAAUAAGCCUUAUCCGAGGCAUUUAUAAAUCAUGAAGCGUGGAUUGCCUGCAGUCCCAGCAGGUCUUCCCUGUCCCGGCCUCACAACAGCCCCGUGGCUGCAGCAGGAACUGCACUGGCUUUUUGAGCGCGUUUCCGUGCAAUCUGAAUGUUUGUGUUUGAUGAGCUUUAAUAGCUGUUUUUCAGCAUAAAUCAGCCUGGAUGCAUCACGUGUCCACUCCUAUCCGUGGGAUCAUAAACCCCAACUUCCCGUUUAUGCCCUGGCGCCGCAGUAACAACGACGGGAACAACAGAAACCCCUUUCAGGGGGUUGAUGUGAGUGACACCAGAGUCCUUGUCACAGUGCUUGGUAAGACACCGUGUUCCUGCCAAUCAAACUGUUGUAACACCGCUGGAGCAAAUGGAGCCCUGGCGAUUUCUCCGCUCACAACCUGCUUUGUGGACUGAGCUCUCUGUACACAGGGACGCUCCUGGGACUGCAGCUGUCACAGCACACAGCUCCUAAAAUGUUUGAGCUGAACCAAUGAUCUGGAGCACUGAAAUUCUCUGGGGAGAUCAAAUGAGUGGUGAAUCCUCCCUUUUGCUUAGAUGUGUUUGGCAUGAAGGGCUGCACAGACAGCGGGGUACCAUCAGUCACUGUGCCUCUCAGCUGACAGGGCUGGAGAAGCUUCAGCAGCUCCAUGGUUGACUUUCCGUCUUUAUCUUGCUGUUUUAAGAUUUAAACUCCAUCUCUUAUUUGCCUUGGGGAGGUCACUGCUGUUCUCCCAGGGGUACUGCCAGGUUCAGCAGUCACUGCUGGGUUCCAGGACAUAAACCAUCAUGUUUUACUGCAUGUAAGAAAGCAUUUUGUGCAAUGCUGAGAGCUUCAUGUGCCACAAACUCAAAUGAUUGCAGGUUUACAAAGAUACUGCAUUCUUGAUAGGAAAUGUCUAUGAUUUAUUUAGAAUUUAAUCUCAACAUCAGCACAAUCAGCAAAAUGUAAAACUUCUGCCUUUCUUUGUCUCAUAUAAAUUCUUCAUAACUACCCAUCUAAUCACUAAUCCAUCAAGAUCUUUCUCUUACGUGCUGGGAACAACGAGCAGUCUUGGUAAUGUGGGAAGGGAAUGGGUGUUGACAUUAUGAAGGUAAUUUCAGUUGAUGAAAAACAAUAUAGUUUUGAGAGGUAAUAAAAAGGAAGGGCACGGAGAAGUUUAGCUAGAGAUAGCUGGGAGAUGGAUUACGGGAAAACAAACCCCAUGGUCAUUAAAACAGUAUCAGCUGUUCAGAUUUCUUUUUACGUCCAAACAGUGUUUGACUACUGGAUGUCUAAAUCACUUCAGAAGAUAUUAAUAGGUAAAAGAUAAUAAAAUAACCCAAAUUGAUUAUGAUCUUAUACCGUUUACGAUAUAACUUUAAAUGCAAAUUGCGUUCAACUGCAAGAAGGGAAAUGAUGUCCCAAAGGCAUUUCAAUUAAUUGCUGUAGUUAAUUACACUCAUAAUUUUACUUGUGUGACUAAUUAUAAUCAGGUUUUAUCGGUGUAUAUGGAUUUAUUUCUGAUGCUAAAAGCCCCAAACAGCAGGUUAUUUUUAGGAAAUACAUUUAAACUUCAUAAUGGAAACUGCAUGUUCCCAUUCUCAGCAGUUGGCUGGAAGGAGCUGUGUCUGUUCAGGAGGAGUUUGGAGGAGAUCAGGAAGGGAACGUGCUGAGGAGGGGUCUGGGGAGGUCACUGUGGUGCUGCUGAUGAUGAUCCACUGCUCACUCUCCCAGUUUCUUUGAUCGCUUUUCAUCCUGUGUUGGGCACCAGAGUCCUCGAUGGUGGCCCCGAGGUCAUCAGAGGGACUGGAAUUCUGCUGGAAAGGCACUGGAAGUGAUACCUCUGUUCCCUGCAGCCGCUGGUGAGACACUUUAUGGGGGCUCCUCGAGCAGCCAAAGCAGCGCUGCUUUUGGGGGUGAUGCCUGCAGAUUUUUAGGAUUUUUAACUUUUCGUAGAUUUUAGAAGUAGUUGUGUAGUAAACGUAGAUUUUAAUGUAGCUGUAUAAUCUGUCACACUUUAGAACAGUAGUUUACACAUACCCAACCCUACGACCCCAUUUCAUAUCGAACUUCCUAGAUUCUUUUAGUUUGUUUAGACUUCUUUCAAGGCAGGCCUUCAUUCUGUUUAAGACCAUUUGCACCCCAGGCCUCUACAACAAGAUCAAAUCAACUUUCAAAUACCUUUUUUUGAGAUGCAAUGUUUGCCACAGUGUCUCUACCACCUGAACCCUGGGAUACAACCCCUGCUCCGUGGUGGGGUGUUUAUUCCCUGGGAUGGGGCCCCGGGGUGAAGGAGCUCCCCUCAACCUGACGGGGACCCUCAGGAAAUGGCGGCCAGCAAAGCUAAAGCUUUGGGGGGUGCCCAACCCCGAGCCUGCCACCCCUGCUGUGCCCAGAGGGAAUUUUUUGCCUUUCCUCCCCUUCUUUUCAUAUUUUUCCUGGCUUUUUUCCCCAGCUUUCUUUUCCCCUUGGUUCGUGUUUCCGUGGCAGGGCCUGGCACCAGCGCCCGGCUCUGUCAUGGCUGCCGUGGCCCCCUCAGAGCCCGGCCUGGCCCCGCCACCUCUGGAGCAGCCACAGAAAAUUAAUUUUGUACAGACAAGUGCGUUUUGAGCUGGUGUUUGUCAGAGGAGGAGCUGUGACUGUUCAAUGGAGGCGCCAAGUUUGUCAGAAUUCUUUGUGGACAAUGUAAAUAUAUUUCUUGUGAGUA